AUGCAUCAAAUACAACCCUUAGCUUCGUGGUAUCCUUAUCAUCUCGCACUACUGCGUGAUGAGCUAUAUCCCGAGAAGAACUACGUUUACAAUCUGGGUCAUCUGUUUUAAAGGUUACAGAGAAUUCCCACUGCUUUCUGGACUCCGGAUCGAGUUUCAAGGUAAGUAUGUGAAUAAUAAUGAUAU